AGUGGCAGACGGGUGAGUAACAUGUAGGUAUCUACCCUUUGGCCUGGAAUAACACGAGGAAACUUGUGCUAAUACCGGAUAAGUCUUUACGGAGAAAGCUUUAUGCACCAUUGGAUGAGCCUGCACUUGAUUAGUUUGUUGGUAGGGUAAUGGCCUACCAAGACUGUGAUCAAUAGCUGAUUUGAGAGGAUGAUCAGCCACAUUGGGACUGAGACACGGCCCAAACUCCUACGGGAGGCAGCAGUGGGGAAUCUUGCACAAUGGAGGAAACUCUGAUGCAGCGAUGCCGCGUGAGUGAAGAAGGCCUUUGGGUUGUAAAGCUCUUUCGUCGGGGAAGAAAAUGACUGUACCCGAAUAAGAAGGUCCGGCUAACUUCGUGCCAGCAGCCGCGGUAAUACGAAGGGACCUAGCGUAGUUCGGAAUUACUGGGCUUAAAGAGUUCGUAGGUGGUUGAAAAAGUUGGUGGUGAAAUCCCAGAGCUUAACUCUGGAACUGCCAUCAAAACUUUUCAGCUAGAGUUUGAUAGAGGAAAGCAGAAUUUCUAGUGUAGAGGUGAAAUUCGUAGAUAUUAGAAAGAAUACCAAUUGCGAAGGCAGCUUUCUGGAUCAUUACUGACACUGAGGAACGAAAGCAUGGGUAGCGAAGAGGAUUAGAUACCCUCGUAGUCCAUGCCGUAAACGAUGUGUGUUAGACGCUGGAAAUUUAUUUUCAGUGUCGCAGCGAAAGCAAUAA
rnacentral:rRNA from 1 species